GGUGGUGGUGGUGCUUAACAAGGAAGACCCAGGAGAUUCCAUUCGUGCGGGAAGCAUGCAGCUUUAAUUACUCUUCUUUUUCUCUGUCCAGAUGCCAGAAUCAACUUAAGGGAGGAAGGAUUUGUUUUGGCUCGUGGUUUUAGAAAGAACUUGUGGGUGUUAAUAAUCAUGGUGAUGGAGACAGCAGAGUGGAGCAAGCACUUCAUGUAAUGGCAACCAAGAAACAAAGAGAAAGCCAGGCCUCACUCUGCCUCCCAGCCAUUGUCCGUUCCUUAUGGUAGAGAAUCUUUGAAAAUGCCCUCAGAGACAUAUUCAGGUCUCCUAGGCGUGUCUUAUCCAAGCAGUCCAGUGAAGAGGCACAAAUGCAAGACUGAUUUUGAAAACUAACUAACUCUAUUAAUGUUAUUUGGUAACAGUGUACUGCAAUAAUAAAUUUUCUCUUAACCCAAAAGUCACGGAUAGUUUUAAAUUUCACUAGAUUUUUCUCCAAGUUUUUUUUUUUCCAUAAAAAGAUGGAAUAUUUGAUGAUGGAAACUCAUUUAAGUGAAAUGAGUUUCAUGUUUUAUUACCCCUUCUCCUGGGGUGUAGAUAAGAUUUCAUUGCGAAAUAUGCUAGAUAUUUUAGAAUAUACCUUUUGGGGAGGACACCAACAUAUUACUCCCUAUAUAUUCUAAGUGUUACAAUAAAAACAAAUUCAUAUAUUCACUCAGUAUUUCUUACUUUACCUAGUAUUGUUCUUUGAGGGUGGAGGAGUGAGAAAGGGUCUCCCUAAAUAGCCUAGGCGAGCCUUAAAGUCAUAAUCCUUCAGCUUCAACCUCUCAAGUGCCGCCAUUACAGGAAUGUCCACCACACCCAGGGGUGAGAUUGUUCUUCCUAAUGAUUUUCCUUAAAAGUAGAAUUUAAAGGGGGUCUGGAGAGAUGGCUCAGAGGCUAAGGGCACUGGCUGUUCUUCCAGAGGUCCCGAGUUCAAUUCUCAGCAACCACU
rnacentral:lncRNA from 1 species